GCUGAUAUAGCUUAGUUGGUAGAGCACAUCCUUGGUAAGGAUGAAGAUCCCAGUUCAACCCUGGGUAUCAGCA
rnacentral:tRNA from 1 species